GUGAACCUUUACUAUAGCUUGACACUGAACAUUGAGCCUUGAUGUGUAGGAUAGGUGGGAGGCAAUGAAGUGUGGACGCCAGUCUGCACGGAGCCAUCCUUGAAAUACCACCCUUUAACGUUUGAUGUUCUAACCCGGGUCCAUAAUCUGGAUCGGGGACCGUGUCUGGUGGGUAGUUUGACUGGGGCGGUCUCCUCCCAAAGAGUAACGGAGGAGCACGAAGGUUGGCUAAGCAUGGUCGGACAUCAUGCGGUUAGUGCAAAGGCAUAAGCCAGCUUGACUGCGAGAGUGACGGCUCGAGCAGGUACGAAAGUAGGUCUUAGUGAUCCGGUGGUUCUGAAUGGAAGGGCCAUCGCUCAACGGAUAAAAGGUACUCCGGGGAUAACAGGCUGAUACCGCCCAAGAGUUCAUAUCGACGGCGGUGUUUGGCACCUCGAUGUCGGCUCAUCACAUCCUGGGGCUGAAGUAGGUCCCAAGGGUAUGGCUGUUCGCCAUUUAAAGUGGUACGCGAGCUGGGUUUAGAACGUCGUGAGACAGUUCGGUCCCUAUCUGCCGUGGGCGCUGGAAGAUUGAGAGGGGUUGCUCCUAGUACGAGAGGACCGGAGUGAACGCACCACUGGUGUACGGGUUGUGAUGCCAAUUGCAUUGCCCGGUAGCUAAGUGCGGAAGAGAUAACCGCUGAAAGCAUCUAAGCGGGAAACUUGCCUCGAGAUGAGUCUUCCCUGACCCUUUAAGGGUCCUGAAGGAACGUUUGAGACUAAGACGUUGAUAGGCUGGGUGUGUAAGCGCAGCGAUGCGUUGAG
rnacentral:rRNA from 1 species